AAAAGAUAAAAAAAACAAACAAGUUUAUGUUUGAAGCUUCCUCAGUGUGUUACAAGACUGAACCCAAGUUGCACUAACACCACCCAAAUACAAAGUCAUAAAUACUUCUUAUAACUCCUUACUAAAAUAUAUUAUUAACAUCUUUCUUUAGAUAUAUCAACCCUUAAGUAUUCUCAUAAAAAAUCCAUAGAAUCAGUAACACCCUAAUUUUACAUUCUCUCAGGAAAUGCAAACAAAUUGAUCGCAUAACAUUUGAGCAAAAGAAACCAAAGACAAUUUCAACCUCAGCCAAACUUAUAAAUCAAAAGUGUAGACCAUUGCAUCAACACAAUCAAAGAUUGAUUGAUAUACAAUAUAACACAGCACCUGACCCAGUUUAACCACAUCAUGACACCCAAGUAAAAGCAAUCAACAUCAAAAUCUAAUGCCUAAUGAAUUAACAAAUCAGAAACAAAUGUUAAAUUUAAACACAAUAACCACAGACCAUGUUAUCUAAAUUACAAAAAAAUUUUACCCUAUAAAAAAUAAAAUACAGGUAAAUUUGUUUGUCAGAAGAUACAAGUCUGAAAUAAAAAAGAUCAAAUUCACAAUUCAGAAAAUAGCAGAAUUUCCAACAAACCAUAACUAUACUAAGAGAAGUCAGGUAUCAUUUUCUUCAGAACUUUAUAGCAACAAAUGUGGCAAGAGAAGCAAAAAAGAAUAUAAAGAAAGGGGAAAAAAAAUUAAUGCUCAAAAUAUUAUUCAGAAAUUGGAUUGUCUGGACAAGUUAGAACACCUGCAAGAAUCGAACUAGCUUAUGCAGAUUCUUUAAAGCAAACUACAUGAAUCUGGAGAGGAAAACAUAAAAAUAAAACAACUGAUAAUCAGCUCAGCUAGAAAAAGCUAAAUCUCCACUCCAUAAGGAAUGAGAAGGUAACGAAGCUGAAAAAUAUUCAGUAAUUCUAUCUAUGUAAUAUGGAGUUGUGAAUCCAAAAUAAGGCAUUCAUUGUAACUGAAAGGCAAACCCAAACCCAAUACACACAUUUUG
rnacentral:misc_RNA from 1 species